UCCUAACCUGAAUCAUUAGAUACUAACCGAACCACUGAUCUAGGACCAGAUUACCCUCCUACAAUCCUAACCUGAACCAUUAGAUACUAACCUAACCACUGAUCUAGGACCAGAUUACCCUCCUACAAUCCUCACCUGAACCAUUAGAUACUAUCCUAACCACUGAUCUAGGACCAGUGUCUAGGACUGGGUUCCCCAACUGGUUUUAUUUGACCCCCUCCCAGUUUUCUGAGCAUAUUUUGUAUAUCAAGACAAGAUAUUUCAUUUUUAUUGUUAGACAUUUUUAAAAAACAGUUAUUUUUAUUUUGUAAAUGUGUUCCCAGGCAUAGUAGAGAAACACGUGAUUAUAUACACAUGUAGGCAAGGUUUGAAAUGAUUGUGUUUUAGUCUAAUUAUUUUAUCUGUUUGUUUGGGCUUGUUUGCAGUGAAAUUUACAGUCUACAAAUGAUUUGUAAUUAUAUUCCGGACCCAACUAUCCGCUCACGAAACAUAUCGGCCCGUUGCUACUACUUCCUCCCUGUCUGAGGGGCUACUUCCUCCCUGUCUGAGGGGCUACUUGCUCCCUGUCUGAGGGGCUACUUGCUCCCUGUCUGAGGGGCUACUUCCUCCCUGUCUGAGUCUAGUUGAUGAUCCCUGGUCUAGGGGGCUACUUCCUCCCUGUCUGAGUCUAGUUGAUGAUCCCUGGUCUAGGGGGCUACUUCCUCCCUGUCUGAGUCUAGUUGAUGAUCCCUGGUCUAGGGGGCUACUUCCUCCCUGUCUGAGUCUAGUUGAUGAUCCCUGGUCUAGGGGGCUACUUCCUCCCUGUCUGAGUCUAGUUGAUGAUCCCUGGUCUAGGGGCCUACUUCCUCCCUGUCUGAGUCUAGUUGAUGAUCCCUGGUCUAGGGGACUACUUCCUCCCUGUCUGAGGGGCUACUUCCUCCCUGUCUGAAUCUAGAUGAUGAUCCCUGGUCUAGGGGGCUACUUCCUCCCUGUCUGAAUCUAGUUGAUGAUCCCUGGUCUAGGGGACUACUUCCUCCCUGUCUGAGGGGCUACUUCCUCCCUGUCUGAAUCUAGUUGAUGAUCCCUGGUCUAGGGGGCUACUUCCUCCCUGUCUGAGUCUAGUUGAUGAUCCCUGGUCUAGGGGGCUACUUCCUUCCUGUCUGCUGUAACUAUGCCAAAAAUAGUCUGUCCCAAAUACCACCCUUGUAUAUAGGGUAUAGGGUGUCAUUUGGGACAGGUAUAGUCUCUGUGAAGCUUUAUAGUGGUGGUGAUAGUAUUUUUUUUCCCCGUGUGACAGGAAGGCCUACAUUUACUGAGGCACAGCCUAGGCUACAGUAAUAUAAAGACUGAAUAAGCAUCUAAUUUACCCAUCUCUAUCUGGCUUUCAGGGUCACCUUGUUUUUUUAAUUGUAAAGAUUUGUAAUUUGUAUUGCGGCUGCAGAGUUUUAAAACUGCUUGUCACUCGAAUAUCGUUGCUUUAAAUCAGUGCAAGAAAUAUUAUGAAAGGUAUUUGUCAGCCUGUUAAUUAUACGUAAGGCCCUAUUAUUAUAUUACCAAAGUUCAAAUAAAAUCAGCUCGCCUCUACUA